rnacentral:rRNA from 1 species
UACGUAGGGUCCGAGCGUUGUCCGGAAUUACUGGGCGUAAAGCGCGCGCAGGCGGCCCGCGAGGUGUCACGUGAAAGCCCCGGGCUCAACCCGGGAGGGUCGUGGCAAACCGGCGGGCUUGAGGCCGGUAGAGGUGGGUGGAACUCCUGGUGGAGUGGUGAAAUGCGUAGAGAUCAGGAAGAACACCCGUGGCGAAGGCGGCCCACUGGGCCGGUACUGACGCUGAGGAGCGAAAGCGUGGGUAGCGAACAGG